rnacentral:misc_RNA from 1 species
UGCUACUGAAACAGUUGAUCUUCCUGCACAAGAAGGUGAGAGAGUGACCAUUGCUCUAGCAGCACCACCAAAUGUUUACCGAGAGGUGGGUCCAUUAAAGUUCAAUCCAAAAGCUCCAAACGUCUACCCAGGAGAGCCUUUGUGCUUGACUAACCACAAAGAUGGCCGUGAAUCACCCUUACUAAGAGCACCCAAAAAAGAUAAAACCCCAUCGUUGUUAAAUCCUUCCAUCCUUGUUCCGCUUCUUGCUGUAUUUGCCACUGGAGAUGCUGCGUCUGGAAUGAUAGAUCCCAACUUGCCUCAGAUAAUAACAGUUGCUGCAGUUUCCUCAAUCGCUCUUGGGGCCACGUUAAACAGCCUGGUUUUUCCUCAAUUCAGCAAGCUUCCUCAGAGAUUAGUUGAUACCAUUGGCAUCAGGCAGCAACUCUUAUCUCAGUAUGAUGUGCUCCAAUCACGGAUAAAGGAGUUGAAAGAAUCUGCUGAGAAUGAGGUUUGGAUGUUGGCACGCAUGUGCCAACUGGAAAACAAAAUCUUUGCUGUUGGAGAACCUGCUUAUCGGGCCCGGAGAAG